CCCAGUUUAAUUUGAAUUUCAGAUAAGCAGCAAAUACUUUUUCGGUAUAAAUAUAUCCCAUGCAAUGUUUGGGACAUACAUAUACUAAAACAAGCCUACUCUGUUGGAACGACAUUUUCAAUAUUUAAU
rnacentral:miRNA from 1 species